rnacentral:rRNA from 1 species
GCGGAUAUGUUUACAUGGAAGCGUUCUUAGCGGCGGACGGGUGAGUAACACGUGGGUAACCUGCCUCAAAGUGGGGGAUAGCCUUCCGAAAGGAAGAUUAAUACCGCAUAAGCCUACAGUGCCGCAUGGCACAGCAGGAAAAGGAGCAAUCCGCUUUGAGAUGGACCCGCGGCGCAUUAGCUAGUUGGUGAGGUAAUGGCUCACCAAGGCGACGAUGCGUAGCCGACCUGAGAGGGUGAUCGGCCACAUUGGAACUGAGACACGGUCCAGACUCCUACGGGAGGCAGCAGUGGGGAAUAUUGCACAAUGGGCGAAAGCCUGAUGCAGCAACGCCGCGUGAGUGAUGAAGGCCUUCGGGUCGUAAAGCUCUUUGAUCAGGGAUGAUAAUGACAGUACCUGAAAAACAAGCCACGGCUAACUACGUGCCAGCAGCCGCGGUAAUACGUAGGUGGCGAGCGUUGUCCGGAAUUACUGGGCGUAAAGGAUGCGUAGGUGGAUACUUAAGUGGGAUGUGAAAUCCCCGGGCUCAACCCGGGAACUGCAUUCCAAACUGGGUAUCUAGAGUGCAGGAGAGGAAAGCGGAAUUCCUAGUGUAGCGGUGAAAUGCGUAGAUAUUAGGAGGAACACCAGUGGCGAAGGCGGCUUUCUGGACUGUAACUGACACUGAGGCAUGAAAGCGUGGGUAGCAAACAGGAUUAGAUACCCUGGUAGUCCACGCCGUAAACGAUGGGUACUAGGUGUAGGAGGUAUCGACCCCUUCUGUGCCGUCGUUAACACAAUAAGUACCCCGCCUGGGGAGUACGGUCGCAAGACUAAAACUCAAAGGAAUUGACGGGGGCCCGCACAAGCAGCGGAGCAUGUGGUUUAAUUCGAAGCAACGCGAAGAACCUUACCUAGACUUGACAUCUCCUGAAUUACCCUUAACCGGGGAAGCCCUUCGGGGCAGGAAGACAGGUGGUGCAUGGUUGUCGUCAGCUCGUGUC